rnacentral:rRNA from 1 species
CCUACGGGCUGCACCAGUGGGGAAUAUUGGACAAUGGGCGCAAGCCUGAUCCAGCCAUGCCGCGUGAGUGAAGAAGGCCUUAGGGUUGUAAAGCUCUUUCACCGAUGAAGAUAAUGACGGUAACCGGAGAAGAAGCCCCGGCUAACUUCGUGCCAGCAGCCGCGGCAAUACGAAGGGGGCUAGCGUUGCUCGGAAUGACUGGGCGUAAAGGGCGCGUAGGCGGUUUAUGCAGUCAGAUGUGAAAUCCCCGGGCUUAACCUGGGAACUGCAUUUGAGACGCAUAGACUAGAGGUCGAGAGAGGGUUGUGGAAUUCCCAGUGUAGAGGUGAAAUUCGUAGAUAUUGGGAAGAACACCGGUGGCGAAGGCGGCAACCUGGCUCGAUACUGACGCUGAGGCGCGAAAGCGUGGGGAGCAAACAGGAUUAGAUACCCGUGUAGUC